CUUCACGCGUGCGUCUAUGAUAGAUACUGUUAUUUUUCUGCGCUGUACUUGGACUUUUAUUAAGCGCAUAGGUAAACUCAUAUUAUGGUAUUGCGUUAUGUAAAUUUCUGUAUGAAGUACUCGUACACGUUGUACAAAUAAUAAAUGAAUAACCUUGGCCAAAAAUUCGUUUCAUAUACGCUACUCGGGGUACGUUUGUGUAGAAACUCAUGUUGUUUUUUUUUUUUUAAUUUUAAAGAAUUCGACAGAAAAAAAAAACAACACCCGUGAUAACGGUAAAGCUCUGUCAGUAGAGAAGAAUUCGGAGGAAUUCCCCUCCGCUUAAUUUGUGACUAUUAUAAAAAUAUUCUUUGUAAAACAAUAAUAAAAUAAUAAAAUAACAGAGUACCAUAAUAAUAAAACACUAUAAUAAUUCCAAGAAAAAAAAAAAAAAG